CUUUCCCAAGCUGCUGCCGAAGAUGGCGGAGGUGCAGGUCCUGGUGCUUGAUGGUCGAGGCCAUCUCCUGGGCCGCCUGGCGGCCAUCGUGGCUAAACAGGUACUGCUGGGCCGGAAGGUGGUGGUCGUACGCUGCGAAGGCAUCAACAUUUCUGGCAAUUUCUACAGAAACAAGUUGAAGUACCUGGCUUUCCUCCGCAAGCGGAUGAACACCAACCCUUCCCGAGGCCCCUACCACUUCCGGGCCCCCAGCCGCAUCUUCUGGCGGACCGUGCGAGGUAUGCUGCCCCACAAGACCAAGCGAGGCCAGGCCGCUCUGGACCGUCUCAAGGUGUUUGACGGCAUCCCACCGCCCUAUGACAAGGUGAGCUGUGCCAACCCCUGCAGGCAGCGGCCUUACCUGUGGCGUCCAUGAUGUUCCGCCACUACCUACAUUGUUUGAUCCUCAUGAAAGCAGCACUGGCUGAGACGCCGGCCCAGCCAACCUCCUUCCCUGUCUGUCCCUCCCGGGCUCUAAGCCCCUCUCUUUCUCUAACAGAAAAAGCGGAUGGUGGUUCCUGCUGCCCUCAAGGUUGUGCGUCUGAAGCCUACAAGAAAGGUGAGUCCCAGCUUACACUGCGCCAUCUACUUUGGAGAUUUCAGGCCUGCUGAGGGACCUGGGGCCCCGGAGCCUGGCAGAUGAUGUCCUUAUCUCACGAUGGUCUGCGGAUGUCCCUGCGGGAAUGGC
rnacentral:sRNA from 1 species